AUUUGUCUUAUCCAGGAGUAAAAAGGCUACAAAAACUGCUCGUAGACAGGAAGGGCUUUCUCUUGCCACAGGGUCCAGCUGUCAAGAAUAGUAGCCAAUAGGACGUUGGCGGAAACCAUGGGAUUGUGUAAGAACACCAGAGGCAUGUCCCAACCGUUCAGAGAGGAAGAGCUUGAAAGGUUUUUAGUAGUUGGGGAGGCCCAAUGCAGGGGCUGAGGAAAUAGCACGUUGGAGAGCGUAGAAG